rnacentral:rRNA from 1 species
CCGCGUGAGUGAUGAAGGUCUUCGGAUCGUAAACUCUGUUAUCAGGGAAGAACAAACGUGUAAGUAACUGUGCACGUCUUGACGGUACUGAUCAGAAGCCACGGCUAACUACGUGCCAGCAGCCGCGGUCCGCGUGAGUGAUGAAGGUCUUCGGAUCGUAAACUCUGUUAUCAGGGAAGAACAAACGUGUAAGUAACUGUGCACGUCUUGACGGUACUGAUCAGAAGCCACGGCUAACUACGUGCCAGCAGCCGCGGU